AUACGUAGGUGGCAAGCGUUAUCCGGACUUAUUGGGCGUAAAGAGUGAGCAGGCGGUUAAUUAAGUCUGAGGUUAAAGCGUGGGGCUCAACCCCAUAAAGCCUUGGAAACUGAUUGACUAGAGUACGGGAGAAGUGAAGGGCACUCCAUGUGUAACGGUGAAAUGCGUAGAUAUAUGGAAGAACACCAGUGGCGAAGGCGCUUCACUAGCCCGAAACUGACGCUCAGUCACGAAAGCGUGGGUAGCAAAUAGGAUUAGAUACCCUAGUAGUCCACGCUGUAAACGAUGACAACUAAAUAUUGCCGCGAGGCAGUGUUGAAGCUAACGCAUUAAGUUGUCCGCCUGGGGAGUACGGUCGCAAGACUGAAACUUAAAGGAAUUGACGGGG
rnacentral:rRNA from 1 species